UACGGGGGGGCAAGCGUUGUUCGGAAUUACUGGGCGUAAAGGGUCUGUAGGUGGCUUGCUAAGUCAGACGUGAAAUCCCUCAGCUUAACUGGGGAACUGCGUCUGAGACUGGCGAGCUUGAGGGCAGGAGAGGAACGCGGAAUUCCAGGUGUAGCGGUGAAAUGCGUAGAUAUCAAGAGGAACACCUGAGGUGAAGACGGGUUGCUGGGCUGACACUGACGCUGAGGCGCGAAAGCCAGGGGAGCAAACGGG
rnacentral:rRNA from 1 species